rnacentral:rRNA from 1 species
UACAGAGGUCUCGAGCGUUGUUCGGAUUCAUUGGGCGUAAAGGGUGCGUAGGCGGCGGGGCAAGUCUGAUGUGAAAUCCCGGGGCUCAACUCCGGAACUGCAUUGGAUACUGCCUUGCUCGAGUACUGGAGAGGAGACUGGAAUUUACGGUGUAGCAGUGAAAUGCGUAGAGAUCGUAAGGAAGACCAGUGGCGAAGGCGGAUCUCUGGACAGUUCCUGACGCUGAGGCGCGAAGGCCAGGGGAGCAAACGGG